rnacentral:siRNA from 1 species
GGAGAGGUGAUGUUGAAUGGC